UACGUAGGGGGCAAGCGUUGUCCGGAAUUAUUGGGCGUAAAGAGCGCGUAGGCGGUCCGAUAAGUCGGCUGUGAAAGUCAGGGGCUCAACCCUUGAAAGCCGGCCGAUACUGUCGGACUAGAGUCCGGAAGAGGCAAGUGGAAUCCCCGGUGUAGCGGUGAAAUGCGCAGAUAUCGGGAGGAACACCAGUGGCGAAGGCGGCUUCCUGGCCUGUUCUUGACGCUGAGGCGCGAAAGCUAGGGGAGCAAACGGG
rnacentral:rRNA from 1 species